rnacentral:rRNA from 1 species
AGCGUAGAUGGAUGUUUAAGUCAGUUGUGAAAGUUUGCGGCUCAACCGUAAAAUUGCAGUUGAUACUGGAUAUCUUGAGUGCAGUUGAGGCAGGCGGAAUUCGUGGUGUAGCGGUGAAAUGCUUAGAUAUCACGAAGAACUCCGAUUGCGAAGGCAGCCUGCUAAGCUGCAACUGACAUUGAGGCUCGAAAGUGUGGGUAUCAAACA